rnacentral:rRNA from 1 species
CAAAUUGAGAGUUUGAUCCUGGCUCAGGACGAACGCUGGCGGCGUGCCUAAUACAUGCAAGUCGAGCGAGCUGAAUUCACUGAUCUCUUCGGAGUGACGUGUUGGACGCUAGCGGCGGAUGGGUGAGUAACACGUGGGCAAUCUGCCCUAAAGACUGGGAUACCACUUGGAAACAGGUGCUAAUACCGGAUAACAAUGAUGGUUGCAU